rnacentral:tRNA from 1 species
UGGCCGAGUGGUCUAAGGCGCCAGAUUUAGGCUCUGGUCCGAAAGGGCGUGGGUUCAACACCCCGC